GAUGAACGCUGGCGGCGUGCUUAACACAUGCAAGUCGAACGGUGAAGGCGGAGCUUGCUCUGCUGGAUCAGUGGCGAAUGGGUGAGUAACACGUGAGCAAUCUGCCCCUUACUCUGGGAUAAGCGCUGGAAACGGCGUCUAAUACUGGAUACGAACUGCGAAGGCAUCUUCAGCAGCUGGAAAGAAUUUCGGUCAGGGAUGAGCUCGCGGCCUAUCAGCUUGUUGGUGAGGUAAUGGCUCACCAAGGCGUCGACGGGUAGCCGGCCUGAGAGGGUGACCGGCCACACUGGGACUGAGACACGGCCCAGACUCCUACGGGAGGCAGCAGUGGGGAAUAUUGCACAAUGGGCGAAAGCCUGAUGCAGCAACGCCGCGUGAGGGACGACGGCAUUCGGGUUGUAAACCUCUUUUAGCAGGGAAGAAGCGAAAGUGACGGUACCUGCAGAAAAAGCGCCGGCUAACUACGUG
rnacentral:rRNA from 1 species